AAUCACCCACCUGGUGUCCCAGGUCUAAAUCAGGCCCUGACUAGAGGGGAAUCACCCACCUGGUGUCCCAGGUCUAAAUCAGUCCCUGGUUAGAGGGGAAUCACCCACCUGGUGUCCCAGGUCUAAAUCAGUCCCUAUUAGAAGGGAACAAUGAAAUAGUGCAGUGAAACUGGCUUCGAGGUCCAGCGUUGAGUUUGAGGGCCCUAUAUAGUGCACUACUUUUGACCAGAAUCCUAUUGGCCAUGGUCAAAAGUAGUGCACUAUAUAUGGAAUGGGGUGCCAUUUGGGGAUCAAAAGUAGUGCACUAUAUAGGGAAUAGGGUGCCAUUUGGGAGGGCCUACUGGGUUGUAGUUAUUUGCUAUAGUGUUUCCCUGUCAGGCCCUAUGGUCAGGAAUAACUCCUACCCCUAGGCAAAGAUUUGAAAAAAGAAUAAAGAUAACAUUUAAAUGGGACUUUUCUUGUCGUCCGUCCUAGAUCCUGUAAAUGUGUAUAUCUCCGAAAAUCUCAAGCCACACCUUUUAGUGCUCAGCUUUGUCAAAAUAAUGCUCUCUGUUCUACAAUUGUUUACAAUGCAAACACGUUUGUAAAGUAUUUUUCACAUGUCAUAACUGACCAGUCUUGGUGUAUACUCUUUGAUCCUCUCAUUUUAUCUUUCGCAAUGUAUUUAUUUCUAAAAACAAAUAUCUUACUUUUUAUUAUUUUUUAUUUUUGUUUAUUUUUUUUAGCUUUUUGAUAACCCAUCUUGUACUGUGACUUGACUUGACCGACGAUAUGAAUGAGUGACACGAAACUGAUACGCUUCAACGGAACAUGACACAAGAAUACAUAAACAACAACAAAAAUGCAUUAACAAAUAUUGGAAAUGUGUACAAGUGAAAGUUGUGGAAACUGUAAGAUAUAUAUAUAUAUAUUAAAACAAAUGUUGCAACCCUUUUAAUGUCUGAUUUUCCAUUGCUUGAACAUGUUUUGAAUGACAAAAAGAUACCAAAAUGUGAAAGCAUUUUGCUUCUGUAUGUGUGAGAAGAAACUAUACUGAACAAAAAUAUAAACGCAACAUGAAAAGUGUUGGUCCCAUGUUUCACGAGCUGAAAUAAAAUAUCCCAGAAAUGU
ensembl:lncRNA